rnacentral:rRNA from 1 species
CCUACGGGUGGCAGCAGUGGGGAAUAUUGCACAAUGGGGGAAACCCUGAUGCAGCGACGCCGCGUGAGUGAAGAAGUAAUUCGUUACGUAAAGCCCUAUCAGCAGGGAAGAAACACUGACCUUACGGUCAGCAGACGGUACCUGAGUAAGAAGCCCCGGCUAAGUACGGGCCAGCAGCCGCGGUAAUACGUAGUGGGCAAGCGUUAUCCGGAUUUAUUGGGUUUAAAGGGUGCGUAGGCGGAAGGUUAAGUCAGCGGUCAAAUGUCGGUGCUCAACCCCGGCCGGCCGUUGAAACUGGUCGUCUUGAGUGGGCGAGAAGUAUGCGGAAUGCGUGGUGUAGCGGUGAAAUGCAUAGAUAUCACGCAGAACUCCGAUUGCGAAGGCAGCAUGCCGGCGCUCAACUGACGCUGAGGCACGAAAGCGUGGGGAUCGAACAGGAUUAGAUACCCGUGUAGUC